rnacentral:rRNA from 1 species
UACGAAGGGGGCUAGCGUUGCUCGGAAUUACUGGGCGUAAAGCGCACGUAGGCGGAUUGUUAAGUCGGGGGUGAAAUCCUGGAGCUCAACUCCAGAACUGCCUUCGAUACUGGCGAUCUCGAGUUCGGGAGAGGUGAGUGGAACUGCGAGUGUAGAGGUGAAAUUCGUAGAUAUUCGCAAGAACACCAGUGGCGAAGGCGGCUCACUGGCCCGAUACUGACGCUGAGGUGCGAAAGCGUGGGGAGCAAACAGGGAUUAAGAAACCCUUGGUA